AAAGCAAGAACAAAGGAAGAAAAAGAAAGAACAAAAUCCUAGGUGGAAAAAUUCAAGGGAAAAGUAUAAAAAUUCAAGGAAACAAGUGAUAAAAGGUAAGAUUUUUCAAUUCUAGCUUGUGAUCUACCUUUCUUAAGCAUUUUUUCUUAUUUUCCAUGGUUGAAUCACAAGAUAUCAUGAAGGAUAGUGUGCUGAUCAAACCCUAGGAGAGAGAAUUUGAUGAUGAUUUAGAUAGAUUUUUAAGAUAUAAGGAUGUUUUUAGUUGUUUAUGGUGUUAAGUGUAAGAAUUAAGCUUGAAAUUCACAUAUUCCUCAUGAGUUCAUCAUUGGCCGAAUCUUCCUUGUAGAGUGUUGAAGGUGGAUUUGAUUUUAUUUCAAGUAAAUUGGUUAGGAAAUGAUGAAUUAUGGUGAGAAAAUCAAGUAGGAAAAAUCAUAAUGUUGAUGCACUCACCAUGGCCGAAAUUCUCAAGAAGAAAUGUAAGGAUGAUUUUGCCAUAUUUCAAGUUAUUUAACUUGUGUUUGAUGGUUUGGAGAAUUGGAAGAAAGAUGGAAUUAUUUGGAGUUGAAUUGGACGUAUUGGCCAAUUAAUCGGGUGAUAGAUCGAAUUAGGCCAAUAUCGUUUUAUUUAGGUACAUAAUUGAAUUUACAUUGAACACCAUAUUUAGAUAGUUACUCGAGUAUUUCACAUCCCAUUUCAUGCAUUAGUAUAGAGCCUGAAUUGGUUUUAUAACAAUUUAGCAUAAAUGUAGUAAAUGGCUUAUUGUGCAUUAUGUUUAAGUGGUGAGCAUUCUGACAAAAGUAAAGAGAUAGUACCCGAGGAUCAAGAAUCGAAGUACUCAAAAUUCGACUCCCGAAAUAGUGAGUAACCUUAUCAUCAUCUUGAUUAUCUGAAGUGAAUUUUAAUUCGUUUUUUUGAUUUUAUGGAAACUGAGUUUAAAUGGUAAAUUUUUAAGUUUUAUAAACAAAAUGUAUUUAAAUGAAAUGAUUUUAUAAAAUUGUCUUGAAAUUGAAUGAUGGCUUUGAAAAUGGAGUAAUUGGAGACUAGUUGUUGUGUUAUAAAUCAUGGUUUGAAUUGAAUGGCUUAUGAUAAUAUUGGCAUGAAUGGCUAAAUUGGUAUUUGUGUUGAAAAUGUAUGAACUGUUAAUUUGCCUUGAGAGGCUGUAAAAUAAAAUAAUUGCCAUGUCAUGUUGUUGAAUUUUAUUGAAUUGGUGGGUUAUAAAUUGGUCGCUGUAGUGGACGGCUUUCGUGGACCAGCCUAUUAGAGGGGCACGGUAACCCUAUUAUAUUCAUACCUUAGUAUGAGAGGCGCGGUUGGAUAACUCCUGAGGUUAAAACUUUAGAGCUCACUUCACGCCAAACCACCACGUGAGGGUGAACUCAGCCAACGCCAAUGAAAGACUAUGCUUUCAAAAUAAAAACAUGAUUUAUGGGUACAUAACUUUUUAACAGCCUUGGCGGUCUCGAUUGGGAUAGCCCUCGGCCAAGGUAUCCCUAAUAACUGAGUAUGAGAAUGAUUUUAGCACAAGCCAAAGUUUUAAGAAAUUCAUAAGCCAUGUUGAUUACUCGAUUUAUAUGAAUUGAUUUUAUUUGGUUGAAAUGAGUUGAAAGGUGAUGAAUUACAGUAUGUUAAACUAUUUUAUCUAUCUCUAUUUACUCAGCUUUAGAUAUUUUAGAUGGUACUUGUUUACUCACUGGGAUUAUAUAAUCUCACCACCCGUAUUUUCACCCAUUUUAGGCUCAGGAUAGUCGGUAGAUAGCUCAUUUCGUUGAGAGCUAUAGUUGGACUUGCAUUCUCAAAAACUUAGGUUUACUGCUUUUGAUACUUUUAGUAGUUCGUGGGCCCAUGUGUCACUGUAAAUUAAAUUUUAUACUUUGGUUAUCUGUAUUACAGUAUGUAUGAAUUUAUUUAGCUUUUACGCUACAAAAAUUAUUUACUAGUAACUCUAUAAAUAUUGUUUUAUAAGAAAAUAGAAUAUUUUAUUAAAUAUUUUUGUUAUAUUCAAAUAGUCAUAAUUUUAUUUCAAAUGAAUGUUUUAGACAUCUAAACUUAUUUUUGACUAUGAAAUAUGUGUUUUCCACUUGCAUACUACAUUUUUAGCUGGUUUCGAGAUUUUUGAGAAAAAAUGUAGUAUGACUAUUUGAUGAAGCUAAAAUCUCGAAAUGUAGUAUCAAGGGUAGAUAAAAUAAUUUUCGAGAUUUUUGAGAAAAAAUGUAGUAUGACUAUUUAAUAGAAAAAAUGUAUCAUGCAUUUUGGUCAUUUUUUCUCAAAAUAAAUCUCAAAAAUCUCGAAAGUUGUUAAGUAUCAUGUUUUGAGAGAUUAUAAACUAUUUUCAAAUUUAAAACAAUAGAAAAAUAAUUUUGUAGUAUGCAAGUGGAAAACACAUAUUUCAUAAUCUCAAAAAUCAUAUUUCAUAAUAGUCAUGCAUUAUAAACUAUUUCCAAAUCAAAACAAUAGAAAAAUAAUUUUGUAGUAUGCAAGUGGAAAACACAUGCAUAAUCUCUCAAAACAUGAUACUUAACAACUUUUGCUCACAAGGGAGGUGCGAAAACUGAUAUUAAAGCCUUGCGAGGUUCCAGUUGGUAUUCCAGGCGAUGAAUGUCUAUCGGGACGUCGCGGUGGUUGUCAUGGGCUCAAGGGGAGUACCGGGUCAUGACCACUACAUAUGAGGCAAACCUCUAAGUAGCCAAAACUCUAAAAAGCAAUUCAAGUAGUCCUCGAAUAAAUCUCUUGAUACUUUUUUGUUUAGUUAGGACCAAGUUAAGAGCAUAUCUUGAGAGUUGGGUGAAGCGAACAUCAUACUCCGUCAUUGUCAUGUUUGUGGUCUAUCUCAAGGUCUCAAAUUCUUAUGCCUUAAUGUCUCUUUUGCUUUCAGGCAAGAAAUGAUCUAGAAAAGCUUGGACAAAUUCCUCCCAUAUUAUUGGAGAUGACCCUGAUUGUGUACUUCUCUUAAGUGUAAUAAACCAAAUUCUAGCCAUGUCUUUUAGUCUAGAACCUGCCAAUUCCAUUGACCGAUUAUGGAACAUCCUAAAGCCAAACAAAUGCACUCCAUGUUUUCCAAAAACCUUUACGGAUAUUCCUCCGCAUCUAAACCAGUAAAUGAUAGGGGCAUUAGUUUCAUAAAAUUUACCAAAGUGACCUCAAUAGCCUUUCCCUGAUGUUCACUUUAAGGUACAUAGUCUGGAUCUUGUAAAUUAGAUCAACCCAUUCCUCAGUUG
rnacentral:lncRNA from 1 species